AGCGAACGCUGGCGGCAGGCCUAACACAUGCAAGUCGAACGAAGCCUUCGGGCUUAGUGGCGGACGGGUGAGUAACACGGGGGAACGUACCUUUUGGUUCGGAAUAACGCAGAGAAAUUUGCGCUAAUACCGAAUGAGCCCCUAGGGGGAAAGAUUUAUCGCCGAAAGAUCGGCCCGCGUUGGAUUAGGUAGUUGGUGUGGUAAAGGCGCACCAAGCCUACGAUCCAUAGCUGGUCUGAGAGGAUGAUCAGCCACACUGGGACUGAGACACGGCCCAGACUACUACGGGAGGCAGCAGUGGGGAAUCUUGCGCAAUGGGCGAAAGCCUGACGCAGCCAUGCCGCGUGAAUGAUGAAGGUCUUAGGAUUGUAAAAUUCUUUUACCAGGGACGAUAAUGACGGUACCUGGAGAAAAAGCCCCGGCUAACUUCGUGCCAGCCGCCGCGGUAACAC
rnacentral:rRNA from 1 species